UAGCAUAUCAUAUUUCUAUAUUAUUUUAGUGAAAUUAAAUAUAAAACUUGUAACGUGGUUAAAAGUAAUAAGGAUAAAUUAGUAACUUUGGUGGUAAUCGAUUUUAAUAUAUUAUUAAUAGAUUAUUUAAUAAGCAUUCAAUCUCUCCAAUUCAAUACCUCUUAAAAAGUUUUAAGUGGCCUGAUAGAGUAAAAUAGUAAAAAGUUAAUAAUUAUUUGAAUAAUAAAAGUAAGAUUUUAGCCUUUUUUUUAUCACGGAAGGCUAAAAACAAAGUGUGUAAGGUUAACCCUUGUGACAAGUGAAAAUUGGAUUUUCACUUGUUUAUCUUUUUAUAUUAGGUGAAAUGAUUAAUUGAGUGAGUUAAAGAUGAACCAACGAUUCAAUAAUAUAGUUAGUUAAGAGACAUUUAAUAAUCAUUAUGACUUUUGGAAAAAUUACUUGUAACUUUAUAAAAAGUGUAAAAAAAAAUGAUGUAAAAAUCAAAUACAAUAGAUUUUACAGUAUAACUAUAAAGUGGUUAAACAAUUUCCUAUACUACAUUUGUUAUAAGUAGAGGUGGGGAACAUAUGGCUCACAUUGACAUUGUCAUGUUUUUAAAGGCUAUUAUUCUCUUUCUUUUCCUAUUUACUGUUGUAACCAAUGGUGCAUAUAUUAGAAAAUGUAAGCAAGACAGACACUGUAUGGAUUUUUGUUUCUUUCCCAACUAUGGGUUAUGCCUUGCGGGCAUAUGUAGAUGCACAUUUUAGUAGGAGUUGAGUUUAAAAAUAUCAUUGUAUGUUACUUCUAAAUUUAUAAUGUACUUGUCCAUUAAAAUCCACGAGUUUGGUCUGG